GUCUGUCCAAGAAACCCUCUCUCUCAGCACAGGGGGGACCGUGGUGAGGUCAUGGGAGAACGUGACCUUGGUCUGCAGCUUCGAGAGCGCCUUUGACCAGUUCCAUCUCCUCAGGGAGGGGUAGAACCUUGGGCGCCCGCUGGCUGGAGGGCGGAUCCCCCAUGGAGCACUCCAGGCAGAGUUCCCCCUGGGUCCUGGGACCCCAGCCCACAGCGGGGUCUACAGGUGCUACGGCUCCUUCACUCACUCUCCCUACUCGUGGUCAGACUUCAGCGACCAACUAUUCCUGUCACAGGUGAGGAACCUCUUCCUGGCCCAUGCUUUGUUGUUCCUGUUCAGUCGCUAAGAUGUGUCUCACUCUUUGUGACCCCAUUGACUGCAGCACAACAGACUCCUCUGUCCUUCACAUUCUCCCUUCACACCAAACGUUGUAAGAUUAUGGCAGUCAAAGCCCACAGAGAUGGAAUCAGAGAGAAAACAGAGUCAACGAAAAGCAGAGGCAGAAACACAGUUGCUGUGCACACACAUAUAAAAUAAGCCAGAGGGACUGGGGCCGGUGGGAGAAACAUGAAAAAAAAUAAUGGUCUGUCCAAGAAACCCUCUCUCUCAGCACAGGGGGGACCGUGGUGAGGUCAUGGGAGAACGUGACCUUGGUCUGCAGCUUCGAGAGCGCCUUUGACCAGUUCCAUCUCCUCAGGGAGGGGUAGAACCUUGGGCGCCCGCUGGCUGGAGGGCGGAUCCCCCAUGGAGCACUCCAGGCAGAGUUCCCCCUGGGUCCUGGGACUCCAGCCCACAGCGGGGUCUACAGGUUCUACGGCUCCUUCACUCGCUCUCCCUACUCGUGGUCAAACUCCAGCGACCCACUGUUCCUGUCACAGGAUCCACUACAAGUACUUGUCCAUCAACCAUGGAUCCACACACCACAGAAGGCUCUCCAUAGCCUUCGUCUAUACCAGCAUCUUCCUCGCUGUUCUUGUCUGUCACUGGUUACCCAAAAAGUAAGUAUGAAGAGCCAAACUGUUACACAUGUUCUACGCAAAAUCAUAAGUCUGAAGGAGGGAAGCACAGCACUAUCUGACCCAGGGGGAGGUGGGCUUAUAGCAGAGAAUGGCAUUUUCACUUCUGGUAGGUUAAAAGAUGAUUUCCUUUGUUGUAAUCCCUAAAUGAAUCUCUUCCAGAGACCCAUGGAACCCUGUUCUUUUUAUGAAAAUGUGUUAAUUUAUUCUUAGCUGCAUUAGGUCUCAGCUGCAGCAUGGGGGAUCCUCAUUGCAGUGCUGGGUGCAGUUCAAGUCUCCAGAGAUCGUGGGAUCAGCAGUUGCAGGAUUGAGGAUAGUUUCUUCAAGGCAUGUGAGAUCUCAGUUCUCCCACCAGGGAUAGAACCCAUGCUCCCUGAAGUCGUAAGUUGACCCUUAAUCCCUAGGCCACCAGAGACAUUCCAAGCCCUGUUCUUCCUUUCAACCACAGCCAUCUGUUCUCCCCUUUAUGAUCUUGGGAAUCUACUGAUACGCGUUAGAGGAUGGUCCAUAAUAGAAGAUGAAGGAUGGGCUCCAUGGGUUUGCACAGAUUCCUGAGAGAGUCCGUCAGUGGCUGGGCUUAUAUAUGGAAUGUUUGCGUUUUUUUUUUUUUUUUUUAAUUUAGUGGAGUAGACAAACUCAGCAACCUGGGGUAUGCCCCUGCUUUUUGGCUUUGAUGUCCCCACCAAAGAUAUCAAGAUCUAGAAGAAUCGCCCCGUCUCCCCGCCAAAAGCC
ensembl:lncRNA